rnacentral:rRNA from 1 species
CGAAGCCCGAGUAAACGGCGGCCGUAACUAUAACGGUCCUAAGGUAGCGAAAUUCCUUGUCGGUUAAAUACCGACCUGCAUGAAUGGCGUAACGAGAUGGGAGCUGUCUCAAAGAGGGAUCCAGUGAAAUUGUAGUGGAGGUGAAAAUUCCUCCUACCCGCGGCAAGACGGAGAGACCCCGUGGACCUUUACUACAGCUUGACACUGCUAUUUGGAUAAGAAUGUGCAGGAUAGGUGGGAGGCUUUGAGUAUAUGACGC